CAAGCAACCAAUAGAGAGUUUGGCAAUCCGUUUCCAAAAUGAUAUCCUGGACACCAUGCUCAUGAACACCUUCCAACAUGGCAAAGGCCUCACCUUCAACCGCCGUAAAAGCCCCCAUACACGAACCAAACCUGCAUCCAAGAGUCGUCCCAUGAGCAUCCAUCAUCACCACACCAAUGCCCAUUCCUUGGCCACGACGGAUGGCAGCAUCACAGCGGAUUUUUACUUGCCCGACCCUACUACAUUCAAUCGUGACAGCACGUUGUUGGACGAGAAUAGAUUACAGUUGUUUAGCAACAAAUACCUCGCAAUAUAUAUUGAAUUGUUUUUUUCUUCUUGACUUUUUGAAUUGUAUAGCUUAAACAUCGCAAUAUAUGCUUAUGUAUCAAAUUUAAAAAUUUAGAUUUACAGUUUCUUUUAUUUUAUAU
rnacentral:lncRNA from 1 species